GACGAAGGAUCCAAGCGUUAUCCGGAUUUAUUGGGUUUAAAGGGUGCGUAGGCGGAUUGAUAAGUCAGUGGUGAAAGCCUGCAGCUUAACUGCAGAACUGCCAUUGAUACUGUCGAUCUUGAAUAUGUUUGAUGUGGGCGGAAUAUGACAUGUAGCGGUGAAAUGCUUAGAUAUGUCAUAGAACACCGAUUGCGAAGGCAGCUCACAAAGCCAUUAUUGACGCUGAGGCACGAAAGCGUGGGGAUCAAACAGG
rnacentral:rRNA from 1 species